AGUGAACGCUGGCGGUAGGCCUAACACAUGCAAGUCGAACGAGGGGCGGACGGGUGAGGAAUACAUCGGAAUCUACGAUGGCGGGGGGGAUAACGUAGGGAAACUUACGCUAAUACCGCAUACGAAGGAGUGAGCCGAUGGCGGAUUAGCGAGUUGGUGGGGAAAAGGCCCACCAAGGCGACGAUCCGUAGCUGGUCUGAGAGGAUGAUCAGCCACACUGGAACUGAGACACGGUCCAGACUCCUACGGGAGGCAGCAGUGGGGAAUAUUGGACAAUGGGCGCAAGCCUGAUCCAGCCAUACCGCGUGUGUGAAGAAGGCCUUCGGGUUGUAAAGCCCUUUUGUUGGGAAAGCGGUACCCAAAGAAUAAGCACCGGCUAACUUCGUGCCAGCAGCCGCGGUAAUAC
rnacentral:rRNA from 1 species